UACAGAGGUCUCAAGCGUUGUUCGGAUUCAUUGGGCGUAAAGGGUGUGUAGGUGGCGCGCUAAGUCGGGUGUGAAGUUUCGGAGCUUAACUCCGAAACUGCAUUCGAUACUGCCAUGCUUGAGGACUGGAGAGGAGACUGGAAUUACGGUGUAGCGGUGAAAUGCGUAGAUAUCGUAAGGAAGACCAGUGGCGAAGGCGGGUCUCUGGACAGUUCCUGACGCUGAGGCACGAAGGUCAGGGAGCAAACGGG
rnacentral:rRNA from 1 species